AGUGAACGCUGGCGGUAGGCCUAACACAUGCAAGUCGAACGGCAGCACAGUAAGAGCUUGCUCUUACGGGUGGCGAGUGGCGGACGGGUGAGGAAUACAUCGGAAUCUACUUUUUCGUGGAGGAUAACGUAGGGAAACUUACGCUAAUACCGCAUACAACCUACGGGUGAAAGCAGGGGAUCUUCGGACCUUGCGCGAUUGAAUGAGCCGAUGUCGGAUUAGCUAGUUGGCGGGGUAAAGGCCCACCAAGGCGACGAUCCGUAGCUGGUCUGAGAGGAUGAUCAGCCACACUGGAACUGAGACACGGUCCAGACUCCUACGGGAGGCAGCAGUGGGGAAUAUUGGACAAUGGGCGCAAGCCUGAUCCAGCCAUACCGCGUGGGUGAAGAAGGCCUUCGGGUUGUAAAGCCCUUUUGUUGGGAAAGAAAAGCAGCAGGUUAAUACCCCGCUGUUCUGACGGUACCCAAAGAAUAAGCACCGGCUAACUUCGUG
rnacentral:rRNA from 1 species